UUGAUGCGUACAAUUAAACCAAAUUUCUUUCUAAAUAUUAAGCCGCUAACGUGCAAUAUAAGCGCGUAGUAUGAACAACAAUAUCUCAACUAGGCAAUAGUUGCUUAUCAUUUGUAUUAGAUCAGUCACAUCGGAAGUUCACUGAUAUUGCCAUCUUAUCAUUUUAUGAAAGAGUAGGGUAGGCUGGUCACAUUGGAAGUGCACCGCUGUCUUUGAUAACAACCUCACUCGUAGGUAUCUCAUCCGAUCCUCCUACUCGUUCAACCUUGUACACAACGUCCAUUCCAGAAAGCACCUUGCCAAAUACAACAUGGUGACCAUCCGACCUCUAGUUUUGACAGUCGUGAUGAAGAACUGUGAGCCAUUGGUGUCUUGGCCAGAAUUUGCCAUUGAUAAAUAACCUCUUGCCUGGUCCAGUGUGCUUAGCUUUGAAGCUUUCAUCCGCAAACUUUUCCCCAUAAAUCGAUUCUCCACCUCUUCCAUCGCCAAGAGUGAAAUCCCCUCCCUGAAUCAUAAAGCUGGG
rnacentral:lncRNA from 1 species